rnacentral:rRNA from 1 species
GACAGAGGGUGCAAACGUUGUUCGGAAUUAUUGGGCGUAAAGGGCGCGUAGGCGGCCUGGCAAGUGGAAGGUGAAAUCCCUCGGCUUAACCGAGGAACUGCCCUCCAAACUGCUUGGCUUGAGUCCGGGAGAGGUGAGUGGAAUUCCCAGUGUAGCGGUGAAAUGCGUAGAUAUUGGGAGGAACACCAGUGGCGAAGGCGGCUCACUGGACCGGAACUGACGCUGAGGCGCGAAAGCUAGGGGAGCAAACGGG